AGAUGCAACUCUAACCCUAGCAUUGAAGAUUGCGGCUCAAGUCUGGUGUUUGUGGCAGACGAAAUGAGGUGCUCAGUACCCUGAGUUCAAGUCCAGUCAUCUUUUUGAAACAACGAUUUAUUGCCGUCACUGACUGGCGAGGUCUCCGGAUUUGGCUGCCACAAAACUUCACAGCUAGACUGACUAAAGAUGUACAGAAAAUAAACGUCUGGUGUGUACUAAGGAUCGGGA